rnacentral:rRNA from 1 species
UACGUAGGGUGCGAGCGUUGUCCGGAAUUAUUGGGCGUAAAGGGCUCGUAGGCGGUUUGUCGCGUCGGGAGUGAAAACCCAGGGCUUAACCCUGAGCCUGCUUCCGAUACGGGCAGACUAGAGGUAUGCAGGGGAGAAUGGAAUUCCUGGUGUAGCGGUGAAAUGCGCAGAUAUCAGGAGGAACACCGGUGGCGAAGGCGGUUCUCUGGGCAUUACCUGACGCUGAGGAGCGAAAGUGUGGGGAGCGAACAGG